GGGCACGUGGUUCAGUGGAUAGAGCAUCAGGUUCCGGUCCUGAGGAGCGGGGGUUCGAGUCCCUCCGUGCCCA
rnacentral:tRNA from 1 species